CGCCAAUUUCCCGAUUUUUUUGUAACGUCAUUUUUAAAUCGAAACCAGAGCAUUUUUGUCAAUUUAAACAGUUUUGUUUAGUUCUGUUAAAUGUUUUUGAUCAAAAUAAUAUUUUAUGAUCACAUUGAGAUGCCUAUCAUUCUAAUUCGGUAUACGUUUUUUGCAGUUCAGACUCUAGUUUCAUGGUAUGUGCCUACAAGAUGGAUUGGUUAGAAACAAGUACAAUCAUGUUGCUGAAGAUCUUUUCAAGUUUGAUUACAAUGUAGACCUAUGGUGUGUGAAUGAAUUCCAAUUCACUGACAGUGUUUGUUUGGAUCCUGCUAUUUAUAUCAUCUGGAUUUGUUCAGUUGUUCUAUGUUGAUCCAGGUGGUAUUUGUGGAGGUGAUGCAUACUCUAGCAUAAUGGCAGAACCAAUGGACAUAUCAUCAGAAG